GACAGAGGGUGCAAACGUUGCUCGGAAUCACUGGGCGUAAAGGGCGUGUAGGCGGGAAGGAAAGUCGGGGCGUGAAAUCCCUGGGCUCAACCCAGGAACUGCACUCGAAACUUCUUUUCUUGAGUGCCGGAGAGGAAAGCGGAAUACCUGGUGUAGAGGUGAAAUUCGUAGAUAUCAGGUGGAACACCAGUGGCGAAGGCGGCUUGC
rnacentral:rRNA from 1 species